rnacentral:rRNA from 1 species
UACAGAGGGGGCGAGCGUUGUUCGGAAUUACUGGGCGUAAAGGGCGCGUAGGCGGCCUCUUAAGUCGAACGUGAAAUCCCCGGGCUCAACCCGGGAACUGCGUCCGAUACUGGCGGGCUUGAAUCCGGGAGAGGGAUGCGGAAUUCCAGGUGUAGCGGUGAAAUGCGUAGAUAUCUGGAGGAACACCGGUGGCGAAGGCGGCAUCCUGGACCGGCAUUGACGCUGAGGCGCGAAAGCUAGGGGAGCAAACGGG